CAGGGGUAGCGGUGAAAUGCUAUAAUCCUUGGGGGACCGCCAGUGGCGAAAGCGCUCGACGAGACCAGACCUGACGGUGAGGGACGAAGGCCAGGGGCGCGAACCGGAUUAGAUACCCGGGUAGUCCUGGCUGCAAAGUAUGUGGGUUAGGUGCUGGGCGUUCCUCGAGAGCGUCCGGUGCCGAAGGAAAGCCAUUAAGCCCACCGCCUGGGAAGUACGGUCGCAAGACUGAAACUUAAAGAAAUUGGCGGGGGAGCACCACAAGGGGUGGAGCCUGCGGUUUAAUUGGAUUCAACGCCGGACAACUCACCGGGGGCGACGGCAGAAUGAAGGCCAAGCUGACGACUUUGCCGGACUCGCCGAGAGGCGGUGCAUGGCCGCCGCCAGCUCGUAUCGUGAGACGUCCUGUCAAGUCAGGUAACGAGCGAGACCCUCACCCUUAGUUGCCAUCGGGUUCCGUUAGGAAUGCCGGGCACUCUAAGGGGACCGCUGUCGAUAAGACUGAGGAGGGAGAGGGCGACGGUAGGUCCGUAUGCCCCGAAUCCCCCGGGCAACACGCGGGCUACAAUGCGAAGGGCAGAGGGCUGCGACCCCGAGAGGGGAAGCUAAUCCCUAAACCUGCGCUUAGUUCGGAUCGAGGGCUGCAACCCGCCCUCGUGAAGCUGGAAUCCCUAGUAAUCGCGUGUCAUUAUCGCGCGGUG
rnacentral:rRNA from 1 species